CGGAGUCCAAGCCUCCUGCCUCUAACCUGCCCUACCUCGGACCUUCCUUAGUCACUGCCAGCCAGCUACACGGCGCCAAUCACAGCCUCCGGCUUCUGCAGGCAGGCCAGUUGCAGAGCACUGGGAGUUCUGGCCGGUUCUUCAGCCUAGAAGGCCUACCGGGAAUCUGCAGUGUCAGUGUCCUGAGCUUCUGCGUGGGGAUUCCCAGCCUUGUUCCCAGCUACCUCCUAGGUGUGGGGCUGCCUUAUGCGUCACGCACAUGGACCAUGCGUCUGGCUUCAAGGAUCUCCAAGGAAUCAAAACACCAAGAUUCCUGCUGACCUUCUCCUACAAAAUUAAAGCUGGGGGCAGAGGCUGAA